rnacentral:rRNA from 1 species
AUUGAACGCUGGCGGCAGGCCUAACACAUGCAAGUCGAACGAGUGGCGGACGGGUGAGUAAUGUCUGGGAAACUGCCUGAUGGAGGGGGAUAACUACUGGAAACGGUAGCUAAUACCGCAUACCAUCGGAUGAGCCCAGAUGGGAUUAGCUAGUAGGUAGGGUAACGGCUCACCUAGGCGACGAUCCCUAGCUGGGCUGAGAGGAUGACCAGCCAAACUGGAACUGAGGCACGGCCCAUACUCCUACGGGAGGCAGCAGUGGGGAAUAUUGCACAAUGGGCGCAAGCCUGGUGCAGCCAUGCCGCGUGUAUGAAGAAGGCCUUCGGGUUGUAAAGUACUUUCAGCAGGGAGGCGUUACCCACAGAAGAAGCACCGGCUAACUCCGUGCCAGCAGCCGCGGUAAUUC